rnacentral:rRNA from 1 species
AGAUUGAACGCUGGCGGCAUGCUUUACACAUGCAAGUCGAACGGUAACAGGCCGCAAGGUGCUGACGAGUGGCGAACGGGUGAGUAAUGUAUCGGAACGUGCCCAGUCGUGGGGGAUAACGCAGCGAAAGCUGCGCUAAUACCGCAUACGAUCUAUGGAUGAAAGCGGGGGACCGUAAGGCCUCGCGCGAUUGGAGCGGCCGAUAUCAGAUUAGGUAGUUGGUGGGGUAAAGGCUCACCAAGCCAACGAUCUGUAGCUGGUCUGAGAGGACGACCAGCCACACUGGGACUGAGACACGGCCCAGACUCCGUACGGGAGCAGCAGGUGGGAAUUUUGGACAAGUGGGCGACAAGCCUGACUCCAGCAAUGCCGCGUGCAGGAAGAGGCCGUUACGGUUGUAAC